rnacentral:rRNA from 1 species
GACCCGAAACCCGGUGAUCUAGCCAUGGGCAGGUUGAAGGUUGGGUAACACUAACUGGAGGACCGAACCGACUAAUGUUGAAAAAUUAGCGGAUGACCUGUGGCUGGGGGUGAAAGGCCAAUCAAACCGGGAGAUAGCUGGUUCUCCCCGAAAGCUAUUUAGGUAGCGCCUCGUGAAUUCAUCUCCGGGGGUAGAGCACUGUUUCGGCUAGGGGGCCAUCCCGGCUUACCAACCCGAUGCAAACUGCGAAUACCGGAGAAUGUUAUCACGGGAGACACACGGCGGGUGCUAACGUCCGUCGUGAAGAGGGAAACAACCCAGACCGCCAGCUAAGGUCCCAAAGUCAUGGUUAAGUGGGAAACGAUGUGGGAAGGCCCAGACAGCCAGGAUGUUGGCUUAGAAGCAGCCAUCAUUUAAAGAAAGCGUAAUAGCUCACUGGUCGAGUCGGCCUGCGCGGAAGAUGUAACGGGGCUAAACCAUGCACCGAAGCUGCGGCAGCGACACUGUGUGUUGUUGGGUAGGGGAGCGUUCUGUAAGCCUGUGAAGGUGU